AGGUCACACUCCUGCAUCCUUAUGUGACAUAUGAUCUGAGUUGUCCUGAAAAAAUAGAUGUUAUGGACUGUGAUUGUUUUUCAAAAGGAAAAAGCAAAGGUGUGAAACAAAAAUCAGUUUCCAGCAGCUGUUGGUGGUAAAGUGUCCAGUGCCCACCACAGCCAGAGAGAAAGCUGCUGAAUAUUUUGAAUUUCCCUCGGGAUUAAUAAAGCGUCUGUCCGUCGAGUCGUCGGAUCCUCUUGAUCCUCAUCAGGGUCAUGGGGGGCUGGAGUCUAUCCCAGCUGACUGCGGGUGAAGGCAGGGGACACCUGGACAGGGGGAGGUGGUGCACUGGCUGGCCUGUUGGCUGGAUGCAGCCUGCAGGAAGGGCUCCACUCCCACAGUGGGUAAAGGACUGAUGGAGGGAGGAUCCUUCACUCGUCCAAACUCAGACAUAAAAUAUAAUGAGGCGAAACGAGAGUGGUGUCUUUCAAUGUGUUUACUUCUGAACUGCCAGACCAGACUGCCAAACAUGGGGUAACAGGCAUCCCAUAAUACCUUGCGCAGGUACUUCUUAAAGUGACCAUAACACUGUUUUAUACAUUACAAAUAUCAAUAUUGUAUUACUCAUAUGUGACAUCAAGUUCAGUGUUCAGCUAGCAGUGCCUUAAAAAAAUAAAUCCUAACAUGUCCUUGUCUCAGUCUGAUCCAGUUCUUCUCUAAGAUGAGGAAGUGGGCCGACAUGUCCAACCUCUCGCAGGACUUCAGGCUACAAAUGGAUGGCUGGAGCGAAACUUUGAGGUCUCCACCGUGAUCUUCCGCAAGUUUGAUGUCUUGAUUUAGUAAUGAGUCGUGGCCCCUCCAGUCAGGAAGCAGCAGCGGAGAGCUCUCUGGAUCAGGAGAGGCCCAGGCCGAGGCCCUGUGGUGGGGACACCACCUGCAGGUGGCGCUGGUCAACACGGUGGCCUUCAGGGGCAUCUGGCAGAAGCAGUUUCUGUUCACCAACUCCCAGAACCUGCCCUUCAUCCUGUCUGAUGGGACUCCCAUCAAGGUGCCCAUGAAGUACCAGGCUGCAGAGGUCAGCUUUGGUAAGAGACCAGAAUCAUCCACUGGAUGAGCUUCUAGGAUGUAGUUAGAAGGAACUGUUCAGUUUAGUUAUAGAGUGUAUAUACAGUGUAUU